rnacentral:rRNA from 1 species
AUUGAACGCUGGCGGCAGGCCUAACACAUGCAAGUCGAGCGGAGCGGCGGACGGGUGAGUAAUGCCUAGGAAUCUGCCUGGUAGUGGGGGCUAACGUCCGGACACGGGCGCUACUACCGCAUACUAUCAGAUGAGCCUAGGUCGGAUUAGCUAGUUGGUGGGGUAAAGGCCUACCAAGGCGACGAUCCGUAACUGGUCGGAGAGGAUGAUCCGUCACAGUGGAACUGAGCCACUGUCCCGAAUCCUCCGGGUGGCAGCAUUGGGGUAUUUUGGACUGUGGGCGAAAGCCGGAUGCAGCCAUGCCGCGUGUGUGACUAAGGUCUGCGGAUUUUAAGGCACUUUAAGUUGGGAGGCGGUACCAACAGAAUAAGCACCGGCUAACUUCGUGCCAGCAGCCGCGGUAAUUC